rnacentral:lncRNA from 1 species
UUGGCUGUUGGUUACAGUUUAGUGGUCGUGUGCUCACCCCUCCCUCAACCCCCCUUCAAAAGUGAGUUGACCAAGUCGGGUUAACAGUUUAAUUUAGUCAGUCCCUCAGUGUCCGUGCAGAGAGACAGUCAGAGCAAGCUUCAGUUAUGGAAGACCUCAAGUCUUCCGAUAUUUGGAAAUAUCUGAAAUACGGCGAAUACCCUGAAGAUGCAACGAAGGAAACAAAACAUGAUAUACGGAGAAGAGGUGAACUAUUCUAUUUGGAAAAUGAAGAACUAUAUUAUAAACCAAAGCGAGGAACUGACAUGCCGAAAAAAGUCGUAUCAAGUAUAAACAAGGAAAGGAUAAUUCAAGCUUGCCAUUAUAAUCCUGUAUCAGGAGGACACUUUGGCAGGGACAAAACUUUAAAUAAAAUCUCGCAGAAAUUCUACUGGAAAGGGAUGAAAGAUGGUGUUUCGAAAUAUAUCAAUCAGUGUGACAAGUGCCAAAGAAAUUCUAACAAACUACCAAUGCAAGCUCCAGAAUUGCAUCCAGUUCCAGUUCCCAAUGAUGUUUGGAUACAGGUUGGAAUGGAUCUCAUUGGACCACUACCUAUAUCAAGGAAUGGAAACCAAUACAUUUGUGGGUUGACUGAUUAUUUCAGUAAAUGGCCAGUUGCUGAAGUAAUGCCUUGUAAAUCAGCCGCUGAAGUAGCCCGAGUUCUCAUUCGAACUAUCUGUACAAUGGAUGUUUUGAAACCUUAAUUACUGACCAAGGUCGUGAAUUUGUGAAUCAUCUAAAUGAUGUACUUUGUGAGAAACUUAAAAUUGAUCACAGAAUUGCAUUAGCUUACCAUCCACAGACCAACAGAUUACAGGAACGUUUCAACCGUUUCAACCAGACACUAGAACGGGCGAUCUCAAAAUUCGUAAAUGAAAACCAAGAUGACUGGGAUGAGCACAUGGUUGGGAUUCUGUUUGCCUACCGCACUGCGAUACAUGACAGCACGAAACUCAGCCCAUUCUACGUUAUGUGUGGUCGUCAUCCUAUACUAUCCGUUGAUACGGACUUCGGUGCGACGAGAGACGAAAGUGCAACUGGCAACACUGCGACAGUGGACACAAUUAAAGACAUUACCAAACAAGUAUGACAGGCAGCAUUUGGCUCAUAACAAGGUACAGGAGAACAUAGAAAGGGCACAGGCGAGGCAAAAGGAGUAUUAUGAUGCAAAACAUAUGUCCCAGACAAACGAAAUGAGAGUAGGAUAGUUUGUUUUGAUGAAGAAAAAUAAAAAUCACAGAAUAGGUGGUAAACUUGAGGACAAAUGGAUCGGUCCGGAUGAGAUCACAAAAUGUCUAGAUAAAGGUAGAGUUAAGUUGAAAAAUUUGAAGUCAGGGAAUAUUCUCAAAAACACAUCAUACAAUUAAUUUGAAAAUUUACAAUAAUUCUACCAAUGGCUGAGAAAAACUCAGAACGCGUACUUAACUUUGAAGAAUUAUGAUCUAAACUAUAAAAAUGAUGUGUUAUUCACAGCCACUUGUACAGUUGAUUUAAAAUUAUUAGAAUUUUGUUCAAAUAUUAGCAAUAUGACCAUGGCACCUUUGUGUUAAAAUAAAUCAAUACAAACUGU